GACGAACGCUGGCGGCGUGCUUAACACAUGCAAGUCGAACGAUGAAGCCGGAGCUUGCUCUGGUGAAUUAGUGGCGAACGGGUGAGUAACACGUGAGUAACCUGCCCUUGACUCUGGGAUAACUGCUAGAAAUGGUAGCUAAUACCGGAUACGACCCUCGGAGGCAUCUUCAGGGGGUGGAAAGAAUUUCGGUCAAGGAUGGACUCGCGGCCUAUCAGCUAGUUGGUGAGGUAAUGGCUCACCAAGGCGACGACGGGUAGCCGGCCUGAGAGGGUGACCGGCCACACUGGGACUGAGACACGGCCCAGACUCCUACGGGAGGCAGCAGUGGGGAAUAUUGCACAAUGGGCGCAAGCCUGAUGCAGCAACGCCGCGUGAGGGAUGACGGCCUUCGGGUUGUAAACCUCUUUUAGUAGGGAAGAAGCGAAAGUGACGGUACCUGCAGAAAAAGCACCGGCUAACUACGUGCCAGCAGCCGCCGCAG
rnacentral:rRNA from 1 species